rnacentral:misc_RNA from 1 species
AAUAAACGCUUCACUACUAAUCCCUGCUUCUCUUUUUAUUUUCACAGCAAAUGGUUCGCACACAAUCCAGGUUUUGUAAGGAUUCAGGAAGAUCACUUGAAAGUAAUUCAGGAUAAGGAAAAUAUAUAUGUCGAACACUUUUGGAAAUCUGUUGAGUUCUGGUCCUUACCAUUGAGCAUUCAUUUUGUGUGACUGAUAAUGCUAGAUCAUGUAUUAGAUCAUGCAUUUUACAUUUAACAUUACCACCAUCUUCAGAAAAAUCUUGGAAGAAACAUCUAG